GGGACAUGGCUCAUGAGCAGAGGCUCCAGGCCUCUCCCCAUCAGAGAGGGAGCAGAGAAAGGAAAAGCUACAAAGCAACACAAGGGGUGGCAGGGAAGAAAGAUGUUACAGGGCUACAUGCAAUGACUGCCAUGGGGACAAGCACAUAGUCAGGGCUCAUAAGCAACCCUUACGAGUUACUGUACGGGACCCGAUCAGGGUGCAGAUGGGACUACAAAGCAGCCCUUGUUGUCAGUAAUGUGACUCACAUGUCAGGCUCUUAUUUGCUGUCAGUGGCUUUAUUAAAGUCUACAGUUUCA